AACGAACGCUGGCGGCAGGCCUAACACAUGCAAGUCGAGCGAAGCCUUCGGGCUUAGCGGCGGACGGGUGAGUAACGCGUGGGAACGUGCCCUUUGGUACGGAAUAGCCCCGGGAAACUGGGAGUAAUACCGUAUGUGGUCGAGAGACGAAAGAUUUAUCGCCAAAGGAUCGGCCCGCGUUGGAUUAGGUAGUUGGUGGGGUAAUGGCCUACCAAGCCGACGAUCCAUAGCUGGUUUGAGAGGAUGAUCAGCCACACUGGGACUGAGACACGGCCCAGACUCCUACGGGAGGCAGCAGUGGGGAAUCUUAGACAAUGGGGGAAACCCUGAUCUAGCCAUGCCGCGUGAUCGAUGGAGGCCUUAGGGUUGUAAAACUCUUUUAUCCGGGAAGAUAAUGACUGUACCGGAAGAAUAAGCCCCGGCUAACUUCGUGCCAGCAGCCGCCGUAAGAC
rnacentral:rRNA from 1 species